rnacentral:rRNA from 1 species
AUUGAACGCUGGCGGCAGGCCUAACACAUGCAAGUCGAACGAGUGGCGGACGGGUGAGUAAUGUCUGAGCAACUGCCCGAUGGAGGGGGAUAACUACUGGAAACGGUAGCUACUACCGCAUAACAUCGUAUGUGCCCAGAUGGGUUUAGCUAGUCGGUGGGGUAACGGCUCACCUAGGCGAAGAUCCCUAGCUGGUCUGCGAGGAUGACCAGCCACACUGGAACUGAGACACGGUCCAGACUCCUACGGGAGGCAGCAGUGGGGAAUAUUGCACAAUGGGCGCAAGCCUGAUGCAGCCAUGCCGCGUGUAUGAAGAAGGCCUUCGGGUUGUAAAGUACUUUCAGCGAGGAGGCGUUACUCGCAGAAGAAGCAUCGGCUAACUCCGUGCCAGCCGCCGCGGUAAUAC